rnacentral:lncRNA from 1 species
UCCCCCCAUACAUGCGUACGUACUUUAUGGAUGGCCCCUUAAAGCAGAGCGUGUUGAUUUAUCUGCUUUUAGUUUCCGAGAGUUCAAGAUAUCAAAUAAAAUAUCCAUAUUUUUAAUAAAAAAGGCUGUUGCAGAAGCGUAUUCAGUCAAAGCAGUAGCAACUUGACUACUAAAAACUUGUGUUGCCAAUUUUACUCACAUAGCUAAUAGUGAUCCUGGAUCUAAAUGACGAUCUGUCAACUUUGGCACAAGUCGCACAGCAUUAACUUUGUCUAAAUUAUAAAAUUCUUCCAGAUGCUUCCACGAUAUUAUUUUACCAUCAGAUAAAAUGUCAUGUUUUAUUAAAUUGUUUCUAGCAUUUUUUAUAAGAUGUGGUGGAUCAAAUAUUAUAUAAACUUUUGCUUGUGUAGUUGGACGUGAAAUUUGUUGAUUUAAUAAUAAAAAUCCUAAAAAUUUGAGAGCUCUUAUAUUACUCGAGCUUUGAUCACAAACAAGACAUCUUACAGCUAAACCUAUUUUAUGUAGAUGAAUCAUGGCAUUAUUUAUUAUCUUAGCUAAAUUGGUUGAACACAUAGUAGUAUUACUGUAAAAAUAUGCAAUUGGUUGUUUCCAUUUUGUUGAUAAUCCACGGACCAUCAAUACAAGUACUUGGUUUACUGGUUUGCCAUAAGAUUAAAUCAAUGAUCUUAUCAUUGUUUUUGUCAUAAUCAAGAUGUUGCUUUAAAGACAUUUCAUCAAAAACAAGACUACAGUUUCGUUCCAAUUUUUUCAUGGUAUUUACUCGCAUUUUUAGUAAAGCAAUAACCUUAUUGGAAAAACCAGAUUCAAGGGUCCCAAAAGAUUUUUCAAGAAACAUUAAAAUAGUGCUUCUAGAAGGUAACGAAAAAACUUUUCUAAACAUUUUGAAAGCUUGUGGACUGCGAUACAUGAUUCUUAAAGCUAAAAUUUUAUCUUCAAUAGUCCAACGUUUUCCCUGUUUGAUAUGAUUAUUCAUACGUAAUUGACUUUCAAAAAAUUGAAGUUGAGUAUUUGUUAAAUAUUUUUUAGACAAAUUAAUAAUAUGUUCUAUUGAACCAUCGCAUUUUUUUAACAUAUCAUGCUUUAUCUUCAGGUUUUUAAGUUUUUUUUUAAGUCAAAAAAUCUUAACUUGAGAUGAUAAAUAUUUAUUUUUAAAAGUAGUUUUGACUGUUACAUUAUUUGUACUGCUAUUCUCAACACUAUUUAUUUUAUUUAAUUUGACUUUAUCGUUGAUUUCUUUUUUUUUGUAUUUUAUCUUGUAAAUGAAGUCUGUUUGUAGGCUGUUUUCUCUUUAAAUUUAAGGUAGAAGGUUGGUUUGGAAAGUUAAAAAUUGUUGGUACAGCAGUUACAAGUGCUCUUUUACUACCAUUAUUGGCAAGAUAGUAUUGUGAAGAAUCAAAAUGUUCACUACAAAUAGUAUAGUUAAGAUUAAGUUCUUCACAUGAUUUUGUAUCGAGAUCUUGACGACGACAAUUACGCACCCAAAGCUUGCAUCUAAAUAAUAGGUUAAACCUAAUUAAUUUAGUGGAAUUAUUUACAUCAUAUUAUGUAUAAAUAUUUUUUGUUUCAUAAAAUUUAAAGUAAAACAAUGUUUUAAAAGUUUCUUUAAAUUCUUGAUAUACUAGUUAUUUAAUAAACUUGAUUUGACUAAUAAUUACUUACCUAUUUUUAUCUUUUGGAAAUCUAAAAAAAGAUAUAUUAUUUCCAACAUUCUUUCCACGCUUGUUAACACAAUGAUGGCUGAGCAAAAAGCUGGCAUAUUUAAUAUUGUAUUUAUAGAAAAAGCAACUUAAUUUUUGAAAAGCAAAAUCUAAUAAUAUUAUAAUAUAUAAUAUAUAUUUAGCAGACAACAAAGAUGUAUAGUAAAUUUAUGUUGUUUAUAAUAUGGUCCCGCAAGACAUCCCAUAAUUCAAUGUACGGGCAAUUACACAUGAAUAUAUGGAUUUUUAGUCGAGUUGGCAGGCUUUGGUCGGAGUCACUAAACAAAAUCGCGACUCCGACCUCAAUAGUAAAACUUCUCCGUAUUGUACGUGCAUGUACAAAACAUUCAAUUAACCUUAUGUUCAUACUAAACCUCAAAGAAUGUUUCAUAAAUUUGUCAAAAAAGAAAUUUUUAACUUAUACCUUAAUAUCUUUUAAAGAAUUUCAAGAAUUUUUCAAAAAUAUUGCUUUGGAGUUGUAAUCGAAGUUGGAGUUGGAAUCGGAGUCGGAGUUGUGCUCAAAAAGUUUCAACAACUGGAGUCGGAGUCAUUACUUUUUUUUUACAACUCCACACCCGGGGUUAUCAGUAACGGUUUCCAAUCUGACUCUUUUGCCUUUGUCUGAUUCUACAGAUAAAGUUUUAGCUUUUUAAAAAAGAUGCAAAAUGUUAUUCUCAAUGAGCUUGCAGAAAUAUAAGUUCUUUUAAAAGAAGUUAUAGAAAUUAAGUUUCAGGCUACUGGGUUGAAGUUGCUAGAAUAAGUGGACGAAGUGGUUACACUGGAUAAUAAACUAAAAGAUAAAACAGAGUAUACUAAUUUGCUUGAUGGUUUGAAAAAGAUUGGUGGCGGAAAGCCAAGAGAACAUGUUUUUUUGAUCAUGAAAAGGUUAUUUUCGAAUCAGUUACAGUCCAAAUUAAAUCGAAAAGGAAAUGGGGAAAAGAUAAACUUAGAAAAUCUAGUAAAUAUACGAAGUGUUUUACGAGAUAUCGGCGACAUGGAAGAAGAUGUUAACGGCAAUGCCGAAAUAUAGUUUCUUAUGUAUAUUUUUGUGACAUAAAAAUAAGUAAUUUUAGUUAAAA